CAGCAGUCAGAGCAUUCCCAACCUUUCCUUUCAAUGCUGUUCACAAAAUAAAAUGAGAAAGGAUGCCAUCGGUCCCCAGCAAGGACACAAAGGUUUAUAUCUUAUGUCACAUUCAAGAUCCUUGCCUAAGGUGGACAGUUAAACUGCGUCAUUUACAAAAAUAAUAUGCUUUCAGCCGGCCUCAGCUUUCUAAGAUGAGUAAAACUCGAAAAUGGAAACGGUUGAUGCAAUUUUAAAAUCUACUAACUACAGCUUAACAAAUGACUGCAAACUCCGUAGUUUAAAAUAACAGCAGCAUUUAUUUAUUUUUCACAGCUAUACUGUGACCAGAAUCUGGGAGCACUUAGAUGCUGGGUGGUCCUGGCUCGGGCCUUUGUCUAAAGACUUGACAAGCACUGACUGUUGGACUUCCUCUCUGUGACUAGCCAACUGCCUGAAGACUCUCCUGUGCUCUCUUCCUGGGCUGGUUGAACUUCCUCUAAGGAGUGUGGGUGGCUCCCCUCAGUCUGACCCAGCAGCCAGAGAGCUAGAGGGAGUUACAAUGCCUUUUGUGUGCUAAGCACAGUUCUUCAUUUCUACCAUCUUCUACUCAUUAGAAGACCCCUACAUCCAAUCAACAUCCAAGACGAUGGGAAUUCCCCACUGACUUUUGGAGGCUCUGCCUGGGAGGAAGCCAAGCUAAGAUCCAGG
rnacentral:lncRNA from 1 species